AUGAUACAUCAAACUGAAGACUGCUUUCUAGAGGCUCUUCUUUUCUCUAUUGGGAGCCUGUGUUAUUUCCUGGUCUGCAGCUCUCAUUGUCUCAUCAAGGCUUGGAUGUCCUGGUCUCUUCUUUCCCUACGGAACUUCCCUGUUCAAGGUCCUAAGCCUUGUGGAUUUGUUCUAUGUGAUCUGGUGAUCAAUAUUGGCUAAAAGGAGUUCUUGACUCCACAUCAAAAUGGAGAACAGAGGUUCAGAAUGAUACUUACAAUGGCAAAAAGACACAAAGAGUUGAGAGCCAAGCUUGAAGAAAGGAAUGACCCUUAAUACAAAACAUAUUGGAGAAAGUCAUCUUCCACCGAAAGCAGUUAUUAAAGAUUUGGUCGUUUAAAGAAACCUUGUACCUUUGCCCUCUCGAAUAAAAAAAGUGUGUAUUUAUUUAAUUAUAAUCACUUUGCUGAAGCAUGACUAUCAUACAAAAAGUUGUACUGUGUUAUAGAGUCUCAGAUUAACAUGCUAAAAGUAUUAGAAGUUCAAAUAUAAGAUUUUGGAAAGAGGUAAAUUUAAACUAGACCAAAACAGAGUCCCUUCUCUUGGCCAGGCUUGAUGAGGAAUAUUGUUAUUCUUUCCUCAAGAUCUACCUUUGCUUUAAUGUAAUUUAUUUAUUUUUUAUACUUUCAACUUUUAUUUUAGAUUCAGAGGUACAUGUACAGGUUUCUUUACGCAGGCAUAUUGAGUGAUGCUGAUGUUUGGGGUAUGAAUGAUUCUGUCACUCAGGUAGUGAGCAUAGUACCCACUAGUCAGCGUUUCAGCCCCUCCCCUCUCUGGUAGUCCCCAUGUCUGUUGUUCCCAUCUUUGGGUCCAUGUAUACACAAUGUUUAGC
rnacentral:lncRNA from 1 species